AACGUAGGUGGCGAGCGUUAUCCGGAAUUACUGGGCGUAAAGCGUGUGCAGGCGGGCUAGCAAGUGGUGGAUGAAAGCUCCCGGCUCAACCGGGAAGGGUUAUGCCAGACUGCUAGUCUUGAGUGCGAGAGAGGAGCGUGGAAUUCCGGGUGUAGUGGUGAAAUGCGCAGAUAUCAGGAAGAACACCAAUGGCGAAGGCAGCUCUCUGGGACGGUACUGACGCUGAGACGCGAAAGCGUGGGGAGCGAACAGG
rnacentral:rRNA from 1 species